rnacentral:rRNA from 1 species
UGGGGAAUUUUGGACAAUGGGGGAAACCCUGAUCCAGCCAUCCCGCGUGUGCGAUGAAGGCCUUCGGGUUGUAAAGCACUUUUGGCAGGAAAGAAACGUCGCGGGUUAAUACCCCGCGAAACUGACGGUACCUGCAGAAUAAGCACCGGCCUAACUACGUGCCAGCAGCCGCGGUAAUACGUAGGGUGCAAGCGUUAAUCGGAAUUACUGGGCGUAAAGCGUGCGCAGGCGGUUCGGAAAGAAAGAUGUGAAAUCCCAGAGCUUAACUUUGGAACUGCAUUUUUAACUACCGGGCUAGAGUGUGUCAGAGGGAGGUGGAAUUCCGCGUGUAGCAGUGAAAUGCGUAGAUAUGCGGAGGAACACCGAUGGCGAAGGCAGCCUCCUGGGAUAACACUGACGCUCAUGCACGAAAGCGUGGGGAGCAAACAGGAUUAGAUACCCUGGUAGUCCACGCCCUAAACGAUGUCAACUAGCUGUUGGGGCCUUCGGGCCUUGGUAGCGCAGCUAACGCGUAAGUUGACCGCCUGGGGAGUNCGGUCGCAAGAUUAAAACUCAAAUGAAUGAC